rnacentral:rRNA from 1 species
CCUACGGGAGGCAGCAGUGGGGAAUAUUGGGCAAUGGGCGCAAGCCUGACCCAGCAACGCCGCGUGAAGGAAGAAGGCUUUCGGGUUGUAAACUUCUUUUAAGAGGGAAGAGCAGAAGACGGUACCUCUUGAAUAAGCCACGGCUAACUACGUGCCAGCAGCCGCGGUAAUACGUAGGUGGCAAGCGUUGUCCGGAUUUACUGGGGGUAAAGGGCGUGCAGCCGGGAAGACAAGUCAGAUGUGAAAUCCCGCGGCUCAACCGCGGAACUGCAUUUGAAACUGUGUUUCUUGAGUACCGGAGAGGUCAUCGGAAUUCCUGGUGUAGCGGUGAAAUGCGUAGAUAUAAGGAAGAACACCAGUGGCGAAGGCGGAUGACUGGACGGCAACUGACGGUGAGGCGCGAAAGCGUGGGGAGCAAACAGGAUUAGAUACCCUAGUAGUC